UGGAGAGAGGCGCGUGGUGCUCCUCCAUCUUCUCGCACUGCUGCUCCAUCCUCCCACUCCACACGGCUCCGAUCGACACGUCCACUGCAGAAGGAAAGAGGCUUUAGGAUUACACGGACAAAAAGAAGCCACUCACAGUUAUCAGCUACCAACAUGAACAGAGCGAAACGAGCUUUCACUUGUCGGUCGGAAGGGGGGGGGGAGAAGAGAAGCUCCGCUCGUACUCACGCUGGGGGCCGCGCUUCGUGUUCGGGUUUCUCCCUCUCGGAAGCGGAGAUGGAGCCAAACGAGCACUCAGGAUCUCCAGGAUAGGGUUGGACGACAGUCAACACGAUGGAUUCUUUGCAGCUCCUGAAGCAAGAAGCAAGAACGAGGACAAUGAAUUACAAAGGAAUGAUGGUGAAACGACUAUCGCCGCCAACAGCGAUCGACAGAUAAGCGAGAGGAUCUCGAUUAGCACGGCUGAAAUGGACUCUCCGCUUACAAGCAAACACGGAUGAACACGGACGAACAACUAACACACACACUCAUUAGAUCCCAUUUAAAACUGUGAUAUCAUCUGUGAUGAUCAAGAUGAACUGAGUGCAUCAAAAUAGCAGAAAGCUCAUUUUCAAUUCAGAAUUUGUAUUCAUCUGGAUGGUAUGCAAUGAUGAAAAUGCUUGAGUGAUAAGCACAGGUUUUAAGAUUUCCAAAUGAUAAUGACUGUUUUGAUAAAGAUAUACAUUAAACUUGCCAUUUAAAACA